rnacentral:misc_RNA from 1 species
AAGCAACGCUGGCCUCAGGGUGCUGUGUAGUGGGGUACCUCUUCUUGUUCUAAAGUUUUUACCUUGACAAGUGACAAAUUGGCUGUACUCUCCAAUAAGGCUUAGAUAGAUUAGAGGAUAUAAGUGGGUCCCAGCAGGGAACCUUUCAUAUUUUGCUAAUCUGGUAGCAAUGGAAGCAUGAAAGAAAUGGUAGUGUCUACUCUAGUCUAGAACAAGAAUCAAAAGCUCCAGGGAAGGAGGUAAAGAAGAGAAACCAAG